rnacentral:rRNA from 1 species
GUAGGGUGCAAGCGUUAAUCGGAAUUACUGGGCGUAAAGCGUGCGCAGGCGGUCCGCUAAGACAGAUGUGAAAUCCCCGGGCUUAACCUGGGAACUGCAUUUGUGACUGGCGGGCUAGAGUAUGGCAGAGGGGGGUAGAAUUCCACGUGUAGCAGUGAAAUUCGUAGAGAUGUGGAGGAAUACCGAUGGCGAAGGCAGCCCCCUGGGCCAAUACUGACGCUCAUGCACGAAAGCGUGGGGGGAGCAAACAGGAUUAGAUACCCAGGUAGUCCACGCCCUAAACGAUGUCAACUAGUUGUCGGGUCUUCAUUGACUUGGUAACGUAGCUAACGCGUGAAGUUGACCGCCUGGGAUACGGUCGCAAGAUUA